rnacentral:SRP_RNA from 2 species
CAAUGAUUGUGAUGCAAUAAGUGUAUUUGGAACCAGGUCAGAAUCGGAAGAUAGCAGCCUUAACAGAUUUCAUUUAUGUGCAUCUUUUUUUUGGAGGAA